UACGGAGGGUGCAAGCGUUAUCCGGAUUCACUGGGUUUAAAGGGUGCGUAGGUGGGCAAGUAAGUCAGUGGUGAAAUCUCCGGGCUUAACCCGGAAACUGCCAUUGAUACUAUUUGUCUUGAAUACUGUGGAGGUCAGCGGAAUAUGUCAUGUAGCGGUGAAAUGCUUAGAUAUGACAUAGAACACCAAUUGCGAAGGCAGCUGGCUACACGAGUAUUGACACUGAGGCACGAAAGCGUGGGGAUCAAACAGG
rnacentral:rRNA from 1 species